GACGAACGCUGGCGGCGUGCUUAACACAUGCAAGUCGAGCGGAAAGGCCACUUCGGUGGUACUCGAGCGGCGAACGGGUGAGUAACACGUGAGUAAUCUGCCCCUGGCUUUGGGAUAGCCACCGGAAACGGUGAUUAAUACCGGAUACGACCACUUCUCGCAUGGGAUGGUGGUGGAAAGUUUUUUCGGCCAGGGAUGUGCUCGCGGCCUAUCAGCUUGAUGGUGAGGUAAUGGCUCACCAUGGCUUCGACGGGUAGCCGGCCUGAGAGGGUCACCAGUCACACUUGGACUGAGACCCGGCCUAGACUCCUACGGGAUGCAACAAUGGGGAAUAUUGGACACUGGGCGGAAGCCUCAUCCAACAACGCCGCGUGAGGGAUGACGGCCUUCGGGUGGUAAACCUCUUUCAGCAGGGACGAAGCGCAAGUGACGGUACCUGCAGAAGAAGCACCGGCCAACUGCGUGCCAGCAGCCGCCGCCG
rnacentral:rRNA from 1 species